GCCAUCUCAAGUCAAGGGAUGUGAGAGAGAGAGACAGAAACACACCCAUUUGGCUUCGUUUCCCCUUUGUCAAACCCUAGCAGCCACAACACCAUCUCUGGAAUAGCAUCGGCUCCUGCUUCCUAAAACCAAAACCACACAAACUGGCCUUCAUUUCUGUAUCCUCGACAAAACACACUUCCCCUACGCAGGUUGGGGAGGAGGACGAACGACGAAUCCGCUCUGAGUCAGCUCGGCCUCCGCCGCAACCCACUCAUCGCUUCAAAGAUCCGAGUUUUCUACAUGUCGGUGAAGUACAAAUUUCUUCCAUAACUCUCGAUUCAACCUCAUCUCUUCUCAUUCGUUUUUGCAGGAAAAUGAUGAACGUGCAGCAAAGCAAGCAGCGGUAUGGGCUGCACUGAGAGAAGGAAGGGGGACAGAAGGGUUGACGGGUUGGAGGGAGAGGUUCGCCGGGACUUAGGGGACAGGAUUUUCGGCAGGGAGGUGUGGGUGGCUGUGGCUGUGGCUGAUGCAUCGGUCAGAGGGUUGUUGGGGGGACGAGAGGAGGGGGACAAAGGGACUGACAGAUUGGAGGAGGGUAUGGGUUUUCAGUUUUUCCCUCUGAUUCAAUAGGUGAACCAUAUGGACGUUUUUGAGAAACAGAGAGCUUCAUCCACUGGAAUGUGGAAUUGGUAGCAGCAGUGCGUGAGCAUUUCAAGAUUCCCUGACAACAUAUCAUCAUUGGAGAUGUUGAUUGAGUGAAUUGAUUACAACAUAUAUAACUAUGACAGUUCCAUACAACAACAAAGUCUUUUCUCACUACGUUAGGUCAGCUAAAACAGUUCCAUAAACAAGAUUAAAUAAUAAAUAUGGUUUCAGGUCUUUAGGUAUUGAGAUUCAAAGUUUCAGGCCAUGUCGAAUUUAGCCCAAGUGGGUUGGAAUCUCCUUAGAGAUUUGAUCAAAUCAAUAAUUUUUCCAGUAAGGCUGAGAAAAUUAUUAUGUGUCAUCUGCUGACAGCAUUAUAAAUAUUAAAAUACUGCUUAAAUAUUCAUCA